GUUGUUGCAGCCCUCCCAAUGCCCGAGUGGGGCGGAGCAGCCCAGUUGGGGCCCGGAGCUGCUCUCUGGCUGUGGAGAGGUCCGAGAUGCGAAAGGCCGAGGCCCGGCCACGUCAGCACGACCACCCCGAGGGAGCUGCGAAAGGAGGCGGCGGGGAUCGCGCCGCCGGAGGGCCGGCUGCAGCCAUGGAAAUCCCCGCGGGGCAGAUACUGAAACCGUCCCUUUACACUGUCAAGGCAGUUUUCAUCUUGGACAACUUUGGACAGCGACUCUUGGCCAAGUAUUAUGAUGACACGUUUCCAUCCAUUAAAGAACAGAAGAGCUUUGAGAGAAAUGUCUUCAAUAAAACCUACAAGACUGACAGUGAGAUCGCUUUCUUAGAAGGUCUGACCAUUGUCUAUAAAAGCAGCAUUGAUCUAUUCUUUUACGUAGUGGGGAGUCCACAUGAAAAUGAGCUGAUGCUGACAUCAGUGCUCACCUGCCUUUUUGAAUCCCUCAGUCACAUGUUGCGAAAGAACGUGGAGAAACGAACCCUGGUGGAUAAUAUGGACGGGGCAUUUCUUGUAGUGGAUGAGAUUGUUGAUGGCGGUGUGAUUUUGGAAAUUGAUCCCCAGCAAGUGAUUCAGAAGUUAAAUUUCAGAAUGGUUCCAGAACCUGCAACUUACGGUUUUGUUCUCUUUGAUUACCUCACGGGUAAUUCAGAGCAGAGUGAAAUUAUUCCUGAGAGAUUCUACAAAUAAUGAAAGAUUCCCACAGGCAAGAAACAGGAGUGGAUGACGCCACAUUAUCAGAGCACAGCGUCACUCAGGUUCUUCAGUCUGCCAAAGAACAAAUUAAGUGGUCCUUAUUAAAAUAAAG